CUCUGAAAAGAGGUCUCUUUCAUGUCUGUGGGUACACUCUUUGUAGGUAUCAAACAGGAAACAAUAUAAAUGUCAUUUCCAGAUAGAAAAGUAACUGUGAAAACAUAGGGUGACAUGUGCUUUUCCUUCUCUCUCUAAUAACGUUUUCUCUUUCAGCUUUCCCUUAUGCAACGAACAAUCUCUUUGUGGUCAACAUGCUACUUUCAGGAGUAAAAGAAUCAUGAGGAAAAUUCCAAGGACAUUUGAACAUUCUACAAAAAGCUCAGCAGAAUUAAAUGAGACACUAUUAGGAAGGCACAGUUUCAAAUGCAGUACCAGGAUGGCGGUUUUCGGAAGUACCAGUGGAAAAAUGAGUAUCCUUCACAACAGAACCACAAGGAUCCCAAUUAGUGAGUUUGCUAAUUAAUCACCAUUUUGACUGGUAAGCUCUUACCGAGGACGUAAGUCAUCAUUAUACAAAACAAGAGUUUGGGAGCGCCACCAUCGGUGAUCACCAUUUGCUGAUCUCUGCAAACUGGAAACGAUCCACUGUUCUGAGCCACAUGGGGCAGUGGCAGGACACAGCCCUGGCCAGGGAUGAACCAGUGCUUUCUAGCCCAUCUUGAAGCUUCAAAGGCUUAAGAUCUGCAGAGGCUUAAUGUCCUAAAAAGUAAGAAGCAAUAGCUAUUGAAGAAGCUCUCUCGGGUGCUGAUAAUGUUCUCUUCCUUGACCUGGAUGCAAGUUGCAUGGAAAAUAUAGUGAAGCAACUAUAUUGAAGUACAUGAAAACCACCAUUACCUCCUCAAAACUUUAAUUGGAAUGUUUCAAUUCACCUAUUCUUUAUUCAUCUGUUGAUCUGUCUUGAUGUGGCAGAUUAAAGAUGGAUACAAAUGCAUCAAGAAAUGGAGUCUAUUUCCCUUUCCUAGGCUGGCCCUGUGACUAAUUUUGACUAACAGGAUGCAGCACAAGUGAUGCUGUUGUAGCUUCUGAGAUUGGGUUUUGAAAGAUCUGCAAUUUCUGCUUCUGUACACUUGGAACUCCUGGGAUCCAACUGCCAUGCUUCAAGAAGUCCAAGCCCUACAAAGAAGGCACACGGAGGACCAAGGUGCUCCAGGUGACAAUCCCAGCCAAGCUCCCAGCUGACAACCAGUAUCACUGGACAGCCAUAUGCGUGUGCCAUUUUGGAUGGGGCAGCUCAGUCAAGCCCCCAGACUGCAGCUCCAGCCGAUAGCACAUGGAGCAGAAGUACUUUCCAGAUAAAUCCAGUCAGCCCACAGAAUUGCGAGAGAUAAUAAAAUGGUUGUUGUUUUGAAGCCACUACCCCAAUUAA